CCUACGGGAGGCAGCAGUGAGGAAUAUUGGUCAAUGGUCGGGAGACUGAACCAGCCAAGCCGCGUGAGGGAUGAAGGUACAGAGUAUCGUAAACCUCUUUUGUCAGGGAACAAAGGCGGGGACGUGUCCCCGGAUGAGUGUACCUGAAGAAAAAGCAUCGGCUAACUCCGUGCCAGCCGCCGCGGUACUACGGAGGAUGCGAGCGUUAUCCGGAUUUAUUGGGUUUAAAGGGUGCGCAGGCGGUCUGUUAAGUCAGCGGUCAAAGCCCGGGGCUCAACCCCGGCCCGCCGUUGAAAUUGGCAGUCUCGAGUUGGAGAGAAGUAUGCGGAAUGCGCGGUGUAGCGGUGAAAUGCAUAGAUAUCGCGCAGAACUCCGAUUGCGAAGGCAGCAUGCCGGCUCCACACUGACGCUGAGGCACGAAAGCGUGGGUAUCGAACAGGAUUAGAGACCCGUGUAGUC
rnacentral:rRNA from 1 species